rnacentral:rRNA from 1 species
GAUGAACGCUGGCGGCGUGCUUAACACAUGCAAGUCGAGCGAAGCACUUGGAAGUUUUCGGACAGAAGAGUGACUGAGCGGCGACGGGUGAGUAACGCGUGGUAACCUGCCUCAUACAGGGGGAUAACAGUUAGAAAUGACUGCUAAUACCGCAUAAGCGCACAGAACCGCAUGGUUCGGUGUGAAAAACUCCGGUGGUAUGAGAUGGACCCGCGUCUGAUUAGGUAGUUGGUGAGGUAACGGCCCACCAAGCCGACGAUCAGUAGCCGACCUGAGAGGGUGACCGGCCACAUUGGGACUGAGACACGGCCCAA